ensembl:processed_transcript
GACACAGUUUGCUGCAGUGAUCAUGAUGUCCUUCAAGACUGCACUGGCUCUGCUUCUUCUAGCCAUGUUCAGCAUGGUUGCCGAAUCAUCAUGGGGCAACGGGAAAGGAAAUUCUUACAAUUAUGACCUUUCCAAAAUGUCUGAUCUGAGGAAACUAUACAACUCCAAAGUUUUCAAGGCAGAGAGAAUGACCAGGCCUCUGGAGGGCAUGUCUUUCCAAGUCGGCGUACUCAGUCACUCCGGAGUUAGGCAAGUGAUCAGUUUUGUAACUGUAUUUUAUGCGUGGUGAAUAAAACAUAUUGAGUAGAUUGAGAAUGCCUUGAUUGUCUUGCAUGUUUUCUGUUGGUCCUGCUUUUAGAGUGACUAUAGAAGACGGCACUAUAUGGCUGGUUCAUAAAGGAGAUGGCUAUGGUAUCUCAUCACAGACCGUUGUGGUGGCUGCCCGUCAUAUGAGCAGUAACUGGAAGAUUGUCGAGACUAAAAAUUUCGGUGGAAGCAAGACGGUAUCUGAUUUUGUGAAGGCUGGAGGAACAGACUACAAACUUUUGUUUGAUAACUGCCAUGAUGCCGCAAACCGGAUGAUGGGUGGUUAAAUAUACUAUAAAAAAACUACACUGAAGCCUAAAUGGUUUUCUUGUGAAGAGAACAUUACUUUUACAAAAAACAUUUUGUUAAUGUACCUUUUUAUUGAAUGUUUUUCAAAUGUAUGAUUGUGUAUAGAUGUGUGUUGAAUAUUAGUAUCUUUUGACGUUUUAAAAAUGUCCGACUCAAUAAUAAUGGACUUGAUAUUAAAACAUACCUGCAGGUGGCGACAGAGGUUCAUGUGUCCAUUUGCUUAUCCAGAAGGUAAACAGAUUUUAGUGAUUGAUUGUUGUAUGAAUAUUGCACAUGUACACAAUAAAAUAAGCACCUAGUUAUAAAAAGCAAA